rnacentral:rRNA from 1 species
CCUACGGGAGGCAGCAGUGGGGAAUAUUGCACAAUGGGGGAAACCCUGAUGCAGCGACGCCGCGUGAGUGAAGAAGUAUCUCGGUACGUAAAGCUCUAUCAGCAGGGAAGAAAAUGACGGUACCUGACUAAGAAGCACCGGCUAACUACGUGCCAGCAGCCGCGGUAAUACGUAGGGGGCAAGCGUUAUCCGGAUUUACUGGGUGUAAAGGGAGCGUAGACGGCAGCACAAGUCUGGAGUGAAAUCCCGGGGCUUAAACCCGGAACGGCUUUGGAAACUGUGCGGCUGGAGUGCAGGAGGGGUAAGCGGAAUGCGUGGUGUAGCGGUGAAAUGCGUAGAUAUUAGGAGGAACACCGGUGGCGAAGGCGGCUUACUGGACUGUAACUGACGUUGAGGCUCGAAAGCGUGGGGAGCAAACAGGAUUAGAUACCCCUGUAGUC